rnacentral:rRNA from 1 species
UACGUAGGGUGCAAGCGUUGUCCGGAUUUAUUGGGCGUAAAGAGCUCGUAGGCGGUCUGUCGCGUCGGAUGUGAAAACCCAGGGCUCAACCCUGGGCCUGCAUUCGAUACGAGCAAACUAGAGUGUUGCAGGGGAGACUGGAAUUCCUGGUGUAGCGGUGAAAUGCGCAGAUAUCAGGAGGAACACCGGUGGCGAAGGCGGGUCUCUGGGCAACAACUGACGCUGAGGAGCGAAAGCGUGGGGAGCGAACAGG